UUAGUACUCAAUCCGUCUGAAAUUACUUGUCGCAUAAAUGGAUGAAAAUGGAUGUAUCUAGAAUUAAAAUACAUUAGAUACAAUCAUUUCCCCGACAAGUAUUUCCGAACGGAUGGAGUAGAAA
rfam:Triticum aestivum genome assembly, contig: Triticum_aestivum_CS42_TGACv1_scaffold_406951_5BL